AACGAACGCUGGCGGCGUGGAUAAGACAUGCAAGUCGAGCGGGACAUGAUUUGUAGCAAUACAAAUGAUGUUCAGCGGCGCAAGGGUGCGUAACACGUGGGCAAUCUGCCGAGAAGUGGGGGAUAGCUCGCCGAAAGGCGAAUUAAUACCGCAUGUGGUUAAGGACGACAUCUUCCUGACACCAAAGCCGGGGCAACCUGGCGCUUCUUGAUGAGCCCGCGGCCUAUCAGCUAGUUGGUGAGGUAACGGCUCACCAAGGCUAUGACGGGUAGCUGGUCGGAGAGGACGACCAGCCACACUGGAACUGAGACACGGUCCAGACACCUACGGGUGGCAGCAGUCGAGAAUUUUUCUCAAUGGGGGAAACCCUGAAGGAGCGACGCCGCGUGGAGGAUGAAGGUCUUCGGGUUGUAAACUCCUGUCAUUUGGGAACAAUUGUCAGUCGUUAACUGCGAUUGAUUUGAUAGUACCAGAAGAGGAAGAGACGGCUAACUCUGUGCCAGCAGCCGCAGUAAAAC
rnacentral:rRNA from 1 species